rnacentral:rRNA from 1 species
GAUGAACGCUGGCGGCGUGCCUAAUACAUGCAAGUCGAGCGAACGGACGAGAAGCUUGCUUCUCUGAUGUUAGCGGCGGACGGGUGAGUAACACGUGGAUAACCUACCUAUAAGACUGGGAUAACUUCGGGAAACCGGAGCUAAUACCGGAUAAUAUUUUGAACCGCAUGGUUCAAAAGUGAAAGACGGUCUUGCUGUCACUUAUAGAUGGAUCCGCGCUGCAUUAGCUAGUUGGUAAGGUAACGGCUUACCAAGGCAACGAUGCAUAGCCGACCUGAGAGGGUGAUCGGCCACACUGGAACUGAGACACGGUCCACACUCCUACGGGAGGCAGCAGUAGGGAAUCUUCCGCAAUGGGCGAAAGCCUGACGGAGCAACGCCGCGUGAGUGAUGAAGGUCUUCGGAUCGUAAAACUCUGUUAUUAGGGAAGAACAUAUGUGUAAGUAACUGUGCACAUCUUGACGGUACCUAAUCAGAAAGCCACGGCUAACUACGUGCCCGCAGCCGCGGUAAUACGUAGGUGGCAAGCGUUAUCCGGAAUUAUUGGGCGUAAAGCGCGCGUAGGGCGGUUUUUUAAGUCUGAUGUGAAAGCCCGCGGCUCACCCGUGGAGGGUCAUUGGAAACUGGAAAACUUGAGUGCAGAAGAGGAAAGUGGAAUUCCAUGCGCAGCGGUGAAAUGCGCAGAGAUAUGGAGGAACACCAGUGGCGAAGGCGACUUUCUGGUCUGUAACUGACGCUGAUGUGCGAAAGCGUGGGGAUCAAACAGGAUUAGAUACCCUGGUAGUCCACGCCGUAAACGAUGAGUGCUAAGUGUUAGGGGGUUUCCGCCCCUUAGUGCUGCAGCUAACGCAUUAAGCACUCCGCCUGGGGAGUACGACCGCAAGGUUGAAACUCAAAGGAAUUGACGGGGACCCGCACAAGCGGUGGAGCAUGUGGUUUAAUUCGAAGCAACGCGAAGAACCUUACCAAAUCUUGACAUCCUUUGACAACUCUAGAGAUAGAGCUUUCCCCUUCGGGGGACAAAGUGACAGGUGGUGCAUGGUUGUCGUCAGCUCGUGUCGUGAGAUGUUGGGUUAAGUCCCGCAACGAGCGCAACCCUUAAGCUUAGUUGCCAUCAUUAAGUUGGGCACUCUAAGUUGACUGCCGGUGACAAACCGGAGGAAGGUGGGGAUGACGUCAAAUCAUCAUGCCCCUUAUGAUUUGGGCUACACACGUGCUACAAUGGACAAUACAAAGGCAGCGAAACCGUGAGGUCAAGCAAAUCCCAUAAAGUUGUUCUCAGUUCGGAUUGUAGUCUGCAACUCGACUACAUGAAGCUGGAAUCGCUAGUAAUCGUAGAUCAGCAUGCUACGGUGAAUACGUUCCCGGGUCU